GACGAACGCUGGCGGCGCGCCUAACACAUGCAUGUCGAGCGGAACACCCAGAGGAACUUCUUCGGAAGGGAAUUUGGAAUGUUUAGCGGCGGAUGGGUGAGUAACACGUGAGUAAUCUGCCCUUGAGUGGGGGAUAACAUCUGGAAACGGAUGCUAAUACCGCAUAAAGUACAGUUGUGGCAUCACAGGCUGUACCAAAGAUUUAUCGCUCUAGGAUGAGCUCGCGCCUGAUUAGCUAGUUGGUAAGGUAAUGGCUUACCAAGGCAACGAUCAGUAGCCGGACUGAGAGGUUGAACGGCCACAUUGGGACUGAGACACGGCCCAGACUCCUACGGGAGGCAGCAGUGGGGAAUAUUGCACAAUGGAGGAAACUCUGAUGCAGCGACGCCGCGUGGGCGAGGACGGUUUUCGGACUGUAAAGCCCUGUCNGUGGGGACGAAGAAAGUGACGGUACCCACAGAGGAAGCCACGGCUAACUACGUGCCAGCCGCCGCC
rnacentral:rRNA from 1 species